UAUAUUCAAAGCCAUAUCCAGAAUUAAUAGUUCAAGUCUUCAGAAUUUCAUAGCAUCGACUUACUGUUUACUAAAUCGGAGCAGCUAUAGCCUAUCAGAGUUGAAGCUCUCUCAGCCUUGACUUGAUAAUAUGGCCGCAGAAUCUCCACGGCCUCUGCCACCACCACCACCUCCACCCCCCAAUUUGGACGACUACACACCAUCGGCUACCCUAAUCCCUUUCCAACAUCCAAUCCCCAUUCUCCGUGGGCCUCUAAGGGCCAGUUCAUCUGACAAUCCAGAAGCUGGCCCACUUAUCCUUGCAUUCAAGGACCCGCAGUCAUGGGCCUCUGCGUACAAGGCGUGUGAAUCCCAAAUCACCCAACAAUGCGAAGCUGGAGCUCGAAUUGGCUGCUCCCUCGCCGCAUCCAACAAAUGCAAACCCUCCUGGUGGAAAACCCUAACGGGCGGCGUAGCCAAACAAGAUUAUGCGGAACGGGCAAAAUGCGAAGAACGUGAAAUGGAGGCUUGUCUUGAAACUGCCAAGGAUAAAUGCCGAGAAUUUUCAAAAAACAAGUGUAUGACGGCGUUUAGGGAUGCUAAAGUUGCCAUCAAAGGCUUGGAUUUGGUGAGGAAUAGGUGGGAGGUCUCAAAGUUGCUAUCUUGGGUGUGUUUGGAAGGCAAUAAGCAUGAUGGGAUGGUUGAGAUGAUGAAAUUUGGGACGUCCUGGGUUGAGUUUACAACUCAAUUCAACUUGACGAGCUGUAAAGGAAGUGAUUUAUUGGGUUCAGGCAAUGCCAAGGACGUUGAUGAUUUUUUAAGACGAAAUGGCAGGAAAAUGUAAAAUGGGAUGCUUGGAGCUUUUAAUUUGAGGAAUAAUAGUUAUUUUUCAGGAAAAAUUGGCAAGAAAGAUCAAAUUUUGAUGAUAACCAUUGCAGAAUGGGAGUUUCUGGUUUCAGAGUCGUCUGUGAUGGCGGUGGAUUUGAAUGACAAUAGUGGCAUUUUAUUUCCUUUUGCGGUUAAGUUUUUUACUUGGUGUGUCGAUUUAAUAUCUGGAUUCUGUCGAAAAUAGUUUCUGGUUUCAGAAUCGACUGCGAUGGCAACGGAUCUGAAUGACAAUGGUGGCAUUUUAUUUCCCUUUGCAGUUCAGUUUUUGCUUGGCGUGUCAAUUUUAUAUCUGGAUGCUGUUGAAAAUGGAUGCUGUAGUGGACAAAUAAUUGGAAGAAAUAUGUUAAAGUAUUCAGGCAGUACUCACCAGAUUGAUUUACCUUCGCAGAGGUUUGGCGUGUUUUAUCAAGAAACAUUCAGUUGAUGAUGUGCUUUAGCUGUUCUCCUGGACAAUGGCUAAUUUCUAUCUUCAGGAAGCUAGCGAAAAGGAAGAAAGCAUAUUUGACAAUUAGAGACAACAUAAUGCAAGUUUCGCAGCUAAGCGGUUGGUAUCAGCACAGUCUUCAAGUGCAUUAAAUCCAGUAAAUGAGCAAGAGCCGUCAGAGAGGAGAGAAGGAGAAGCAGGCCACAUUGUCAAUCAAUCUGACGACUAGGCACCUAAACCUGUACGGUACAAGGAUUUAAGGUAGUUCCACUCGAGCAGCCAAACAGAGAUUCUGAAGAGUAUGAAUUGGUUUACGUAGAAGACCCUGAGGAUGACUUUUAUUAGUUUUAUCUGAAUAGAAGUUGACAGGCUAGCUACUUCUAGUUGUUAGUCUUAUUUACUUUUGUUUCCGCUGUUUCAAUUGGAGAAUAAAUGUACGAACGUCUUGAAUAUUCGUAGACUUUCUUUUAUAUGUAAUUUGUACCGCACUUCAUUUAGUUAUGUCAUUUAGUACUUUUAAAAUUAAACUAGUUAAGGUAGCCUUGUACUCUUGAGUGGGACUUGGGAGUACGGCGGAUGUCAUGUGACGGGCACGUGCGGGCUCGGGGCGUGACAUAACCAUAUUGUAGUUUGCGUUAUGCAGACAUGAAGGGCUACUGAUAAAUUGCUAUUUUUGCUUAACAUCAUUGGACUUUUCAUACAAGUUCCAUGAAGGUUAGAGUCUCAAUCAACUUGGUGUGAAGUCUCGCCUUGCUGCAAAA